GAUGAAGAACGCAGCGAAAUGCGAUAAGUAAUGUGAAUUGCAGAAUUCAGUGAAUCAUCGAAUCUUUGAGCGCACAUUGCGCCCCCUGGUAUUCCGGGGGGCAUGCCUGUCCGAGCGUCAUUACAACCCUCAAGCUCUGCUUGGUGUUGGGCCCCGCCGCCCCGGCGGGCCCUAAAGUCAGUGGCGGUGCCAUCCGGCUCCGAGCGUAGUAAUUCUUCUCGCUCUGGAGGUCCGGUUGUGUGCUUGCCAUCAACCCCCAAUUUUUUUCAGGUUGACCUCGGAUCAGGUAGGGAUACCCGCUGAACUUAAGCAUAUCAAUAAGCGGAGGA
rnacentral:misc_RNA from 1 species